GACAUAGGGGACGAACGUUAUCCGGAAUUAUUGGGCGUAAAGGGCGCGUAGGCGGUGAGAUGCGUCCGUUGUGAAAUCGCCCGGCUCAACUGGGCGGGGUCAGCGGAUACGGUCUCACUUGAGCAAGCUAGGGGGCAAUGGAAUUCCCGGUGUAGUGGUGGAAUGCGUAGAUAUCGGGAGGAACACCAGUGGCGAAGGCGGUUGCCUGGGGCUUUGCUGACGCUGAGGCGCGAAAGCGUGGGGAGCGAUCCGG
rnacentral:rRNA from 1 species